rnacentral:tRNA from 1 species
GGCUGGAAAGAUGGCUCAGUGGUCAAGAGCGUUGACUGAUCUUCCAGAGGUCCUGAGUUCAAUUCCCAGCAACCA